CGCGUAAAGAACUUGCCUCACAGAUAGGGACAACAUUUGGAAACGAAUGCUAAUACCUGAUAUUAUGAUUUUAGGGCAUCCUAGGAUUAUGAAAGCUAUAUGCGCUGUGAGAGAGCUUUGCGUCCCAUUAGCUAGUUGGAGAGGUAACGGCUCACCGAGGCGAUGAUGGGUAGCCGGCCUGAGAGGGUGAUCGGCCACAAGGGGACUGAGACACGGCCCUU
rnacentral:rRNA from 1 species